GAGCCUUCCCCUUCGGGGGACAAAGUGACAGGUGGUGCAUGGUUGUCGUCAGCUCGUGUCGUGAGAUGUUGGGUUAAGUCCCGCAACGAGCGCAACCCUUAAGCUUAGUUGCCAUCAUUAAGUUGGGCACUCUAAGUUGACUGCCGGUGACAAACCGGAGGAAGGUGGGGAUGACGUCAAAUCAUCAUGCCCCUUAUGAUUUGGGCUACACACGUGCUACAAUGGACAAUACAAAGGGCAGCGAAACCGCGAGGUCAAGCAAAUCCCAUAAAGUUGUUCUCAGUUCGGAUUGUAGUCUGCAACUCGACUACAUGAAGCUGGAAUCGCUAGUAAUCGUAGAUCAGCAUGCUACGGUGAAUACGUUCCCGGGUCUUGUACACACCGCCCGUCACACCACGAGAGUUUGUAACACCCGAAGC
rnacentral:rRNA from 1 species